rnacentral:rRNA from 1 species
GAUGAACGCUGGCGGCGUGCCUAAUACAUGCAAGUAGAACGCUGAAGGAGGAGCUUGCUCUUUCCGGAUGAGUUGCGAACGGGUGAGUAACGCGUAGGUAACCUGCCUGGUAGCGGGGGAUAACUAUUGGAAACGAUAGCUAAUACCGCAUAACAGUAGAUAUUGCAUGAUAUUUGCUUGAAAGGGGCAAUUGCUCCACUACCAGAUGGACCUGCGUUGUAUAGCUAGUUGGUGAGGUAACGGCUCACCAAGGCGACGAUACAUAGCCGACCUGAGAGGGUGAUCGGCCACACUGGGACUGAGACACGGCCCAGACUCCUACGGGAGGCAGCAGUAGGGAAUCUUCGGCAAUGGACGGAAGUCUGACCGAGCAACGCCGCGUGAGUGAAGAAGGUUUUCGGAUCGUAAAGCUCUGUUGUAAGAGAAGAACGAGUGUGAGAGUGGAAAGUUCACACUGUGACGGUAUCUUACCAGAAAGGGACGGCUAACUACGUG